GCUCGUAGUUGAGAUUUCUGGCAGGGAGUAGAUGCCCGUGUGAUACGUGCGCAGAUACCCCCUGCCAUCCUUCUGUUAACCCUCCAGAUCUUAACUGCUCUGUUGGGAGCCCAGAUAUUUUACCUUGAGAAAAUUAGAGUGUUUCAGGCAGGCUAGCGCCGGAAUACAUUAGCAUGGAAUAAUAGAAUAGGACUUUAUACCUCUUCUGUUGGUCUGAGGGGAUGAAGUAAUGAUUAAUAGGGAUAGUUGGGGGCAUUAGUACUUUACUGUCAGAGGUGAAAUUCUCGGAUUUGUAAAAGACUAACUUAUGCGAAAGUUUGCCAAGGAUGUUUUCAUUAAUCAAGAACGAAAGUUAGGGGAUCAAAGACGAUCAGAUACCGUCCUAGUCUUAACCAUAAACUAUGCCGACUCGGGAUCGGGGGCGAGAGUUAUCCGCCUUCCGCACCGUAUGAGAAAUCAAAGGCUUUGGGUUCUGGGGGGAGGAUGGUCCCAAGGCUGAAACUUAAAGGAAUUGACGGAAGGGCACACCAGGCGUGGAGGUUGCGGCUCAAUUUGACUCAACACGGGGAAACUUAACAAGGCCAGACAUAGGGAGGAUUGACAGAUUGAUAGCUCUUUCUUGAUUCUAUGGGUGG
rnacentral:rRNA from 1 species